GGGGAAGGGUGGCAUCACUGUGCAUGAUUUAGCCAAAGUUGCUGAUGCUCAUGAUUUUACAUGGACAGACGAGGAACUAGCCAACAUGAUUCACUGCUUUGAUAGCGAUGGAGAUGGAAAGCUAAGUCUUGAUGAUUUCUCGAAGAUUGUCCAUCGAUGCAACAUGAUACAAGGUUCUGAAAGCUCCUAAGUGGUUAAGAAUGCCAAGUCUACCUACUGUUCAGACCAGGAGGGAUUGAUCAAGAGUUCAUUUUUCUGCCGGGUUCUGUUUCAACAGCAAGAAAAGAGGCACCUAAGUAAGCGAGAGAUAGAAGCAAGAUAGUAGCUUGAUCCGCUAGCUGUAGUGAAGAUGUAUAUAGUAUAAGUCAGAGCUUUCAUAGAUAACUCACCAAAUGCUGGUUGUAUUACUAUCUUAGACAACAGAAUUAUCUGUGGCUUUUACAAGCUGAUCUAUUUGAGGUUGGGAUUAGUGUGACAGCAGAUUAUAGCUUGCUUAACCUUUUGGGCCAGUUGAAUUAUCUGUUGCAUUGUUUUAUACAAAGAAUGAGUACUCUAAAGAA